AUUGAACGCUGGCGGCAGGCCUAACACAUGCAAGUCGAACGAGUGGCGGACGGGUGAGUAAUGUAUGGGAAACUGCCCGAUGGAGGGGGAUAACUACUGGAAACGGUAGCUAAUACCGCAUACUAUCGGAUGUGCCCAUAUGGGAUUAGCUAGUAGGUGAGGUAAUGGCUCACCUAGGCGACGAUCCCUAGCUGGUCUGAGAGGAUGACCAGCCACACUGGAACUGAGACACGGUCCAGACUCCUACGGGAGGCAGCAGUGGGGAAUAUUGCACAAUGGGCGCAAGCCUGAUGCAGCCAUGCCGCGUGUAUGAAGAAGGCCUUCGGGUUGUAAAGUACUUUCAGCGAGGAGGCGUUACCCGCAGAAGAAGCACCGGCUAACUCCGUGCCAGCAGCCGCGGUAAUUC
rnacentral:rRNA from 1 species